GAUGAAGAACGUAGCGAAAUGCGAUAAGUAAUGUGAAUUGCAGAAUUCAGUGAAUCAUCGAAUCUUUGAACGCACAUUGCGCCCGCCAGUAUUCUGGCGGGCAUGCCUGUUCGAGCGUCAUUUCAACCAUCAAGCCCCAGGCUUGUGUUGGGGACCUGCGGCUGCCGCAGGCCCUGAAAACCAGUGGCGGGCUCGCUGUCACACCGGGCGUAGUAGAUUUUAUCUCGCUCAGGGCGUGCUGCGGGUUCCGGCCGUUAAAAGCCUUUUUUUACCCAAGGUUGACCUCGGAUCAGGUAGGAAGACCCGCUGAACUUAAGCAUAUCAAUAAGCGGAGGA
rnacentral:misc_RNA from 1 species